rnacentral:rRNA from 1 species
GUUGCGUAGUUGAUGGGAAACAGGUCAAUAUUCCUGUACCGAUGUGUAGUGCGAUGUGGGGACGGAGAAGGUUAGCUCAGCCAACUGUUGGAUAUGUUGGUUCAAGCCUGUAGUCGUGCCUGGUAGGUAAAUCCGCCGGGCUUAGAUGAGGGGUGAUAACGAGGCUGCUUGCAGCCGAAGUGAGUGAUACCCUGCUUCCAGGAAAAUCCACUAAGCUUCAGCUACACACGACCGUACCGCAAACCGACACUGGUGCGCGAGAUGAGUAUUCUAAGGCGCUUGAGAGAACUCUGGAGAAGGAACUCGGCAAAUUGACACCGUAACUUCGGAAGAAGGUGUGCCUUUAGUAGGUGAAGGGAUUUACUCCUGGAGCCCAAUGAGGUUGCAAAAAAUCGGUGGCUGCGACUGUUUAUUAAAAACACAGCACUCUGCAAACACGAAAGUGGACGUAUAGGGUGUGACGCCUGCCCGGUGCUGGAAGAUUAAAUGAUGGGGUGAGAGCUCUUGACUGAAGUCCCAGUAAACGGCGGCCGUAACGAUAACGGUCCUAAGGUAGCGAAAUUCCUUGUCGGGUAAGUUCCGACCUGCACGAAUGGCGUAACGAUGGCCACACUGUCUCCUCCAGAGACUCAGCGAAGUUGAAAUGUUUGUGAUGAUGCAAUCUCCCCGCGGAAAGACGGAAAGACCCCAUGAACCUUUACUGUAGCUUUGUAUUGGACUUUGAACAGAUCUGUGUAGGAUAGGUGGGAGGCUUUGAAGCAGGGUCGCUAGAUCUUGUGGAGCCAACGUUGAAAUACCACCCUGGUGUGUUUGAGGUUCUAACCUAGGUCCAUUAUCUGGAUCGGGGACAGUGCAUGGUAGGCAGUUUGACUGGGGCGGUCUCCUCCCAAAGCGUAACGGAGGAGUUCGAAGGUACGCUAGUUACGGUCGGACAUCGUGACGAUAGUGCAAUGGCAUAAGCGUGCUUAACUGCGAGACUGACAAGUCGAGCAGAUGCGAAAGCAGGACAUAGUGAUCCGGUGGUUCUGUAUGGAAGGGCCAUCGCUCAACGGAUAAAAGGUACUCUGGGGAUAACAGGCUGAUACCGCCCAAGAGUUCAUAUCGACGGCGGUGUUUGGCACCUCGAUGUCGGCUCAUCUCAUCCUGGGGCUGUAGCCGGUCCCAAGGGUAUGGCUGUUCGCCAUUUAAAGAGGUACGUGAGCUGGGUUUAAAACGUCGUGAGACAGUUUGGUCCCUAUCUUCCGUGGGCGCUGCAGAUUUGAGGAAGCCUGCUCCUAGUACGAGAGGACCGGAGUGGACACACCUCUGGUGUAUCGGUUGUCACGCCAGUGGCAUUGCCGAGUAGCUAUGUGUGGAAGAGAUAACCGCUGAAAGCAUCUAAGCGGGAAACUCGUUUCAAGAUGAGAUCUGCCGGGGCCUUGAGCCCCCUGAAGAGUCGUUCAAGACCAGGACGUUGAUAGGUCGGGUGUGUAAGCGUAGUAAUGCGUUGAGCUAACCGAUACUAAUUGCUCGUGCGGCUUGACC